AGAGUUUAUCAUGGCUCAGGAUGAACGCUGGCGGCGUGCUUAACACAUGCAAGUCGAACGAUGAAGCCCAGCUUGCUGGGUGGAUUAGUGGCGAACGGGUGAGUAACACGUGAGUAACCUGCCCUUAACUCUGGGAUAAGCCUGGGAAACUGGGUCUAAUACCGGAUAGGAGCGUCCACCGCAUGGUGGGUGUUGGAAAGAUUUAUCGGUUUUGGAUGGACUCGCGGCCUAUCAGCUUGUUGGUGAGGUAAUGGCUCACCAAGGCGACGACGGGUAGCCGGCCUGAGAGGGUGACCGGCCACACUGGGACUGAGACACGGCCCAGACUCCUACGGGAGGCAGCAGUGGGGAAUAUUGCACAAUGGGCGAAAGCCUGAUGCAGCGACGCCGCGUGAGGGAUGACGGCCUUCGGGUUGUAAACCUCUUUCAGUAGGGAAGAAGCGAAAGUGACGGUACCUGCAGAAGAAGCACCGGCUAACUACGUGCCAGCAGCCGCGGUAAUACGUAGGGUGCGAGCGUUAUCCGGAAUUAUUGGGCGUAAAGAGCUCGUAGGCGGUUUGUCGCGUCUGUCGUGAAAGUCCGGGGCUUAACCCCGGAUCUGCGGUGGGUACGGGCAGACUAGAGUGCAGUAGGGGAGACUGGAAUUCCUGGUGUAGCGGUGGAAUGCGCAGAUAUCAGGAGGAACACCGAUGGCGAAGGCAGGUCUCUGGGCUGUAACUGACGCUGAGGAGCGAAAGCAUGGGGAGCGAACAGGAUUAGAUACCCUGGUAGUCCAUGCCGUAAACGUUGGGCACUAGGUGUGGGGACCAUUCCACGGUUUCCGCGCCGCAGCUAACGCAUUAAGUGCCCCGCCUGGGGAGUACGGCCGCAAGGCUAAAACUCAAAGGAAUUGACGGGGGCCCGCACAAGCGGCGGAGCAUGCGGAUUAAUUCGAUGCAACGCGAAGAACCUUACCAAGGCUUGACAUGUUCUCGAUCGCCGUAGAGAUACGGUUUCCCCUUUGGGGCGGGUUCACAGGUGGUGCAUGGUUGUCGUCAGCUCGUGUCGUGAGAUGUUGGGUUAAGUCCCGCAACGAGCGCAACCCUCGUUCCAUGUUGCCAGCACGUAAUGGUGGGGACUCAUGGGAAGACUGCCGGGGUCAACUCGGA
rnacentral:rRNA from 1 species